GUGCCAGCAGCCGCGGUAAUACAUAGGGUGCAAGCGUUAAUCGGAAUUACUGGGCGUAAAGCGUGCGCAGGCGGUGAUGUAAGACAGUUGUGAAAUCCCCGGGCUCAACCUGGGAACUGCAUCUGUGACUGCAUCGCUGGAGUACGGCAGAGGGGGAUGGAAUUCCGCGUGUAGCAGUGAAAUGCGUAGAUAUGCGGAGGACACCGAUGGCGAAGGCAAUCCCCUGGGCCUGUACUGACGCUCAUGCACGAAAGCGUGGGGAGCAAACAGGAUUAGAU
rnacentral:rRNA from 1 species